rnacentral:lncRNA from 1 species
CUGGGAUCAUCAUGGAUUGGGAUGCAUUCUGAUAAUAAGAUAUUAGGUAUUGAUAUGUGAUAUGUAUGUCACACUUGACUUCAUCAUCCUUUGUUUUUAGAUGUAUUCUUUAGGCAUACAUUAAUGUGGUAGCUUGGUCAUAUUCUGUAGCUAAUUUAGUCACCAAAUACUCGGAUUUUUUCCCGACUCCCAUUAUAAAGAACUUCCACUUGCCAUCUCUAUAUGGAUUUUCUUUUUGCUACCGAUUUUGGCUAAAGGUUUUUCGGCUCUCAUCUCUAUAUGGAUAUGCUUUUUUCAGGUUAGUAGUUUAGGAGUUCCUGCCAACACUAGUUUUUGGAAGUUAUACUCCCUUCACCAGUUGGGCUUAACAAGGACAUAAUUAAUUCGCUGUUGGUAAUUAGAAGGGAAAAAAAUCUGGUUGGAGAAAACUUCUCUUUUUCUUAAUUGUUUGCUUCAUAAUUUUAGUAAUCUUUUUUUCAUUUUUUUUCAGGUUAGUAGUAUGGGAGUACCUGUCAAGACUGACUUUUGGAAGUUAUGCUAGCCUCAUCAGUUGGGCUUUCUAUACAAAACUAGACUCAAUAUAAUUUAUUUUGGUGCUUGCGAUGAGUAUUAGACAGAGGGGUGAUGACCACAUAGUUCAC